AAUUACAAGCUGGGGUGCCCUGUGGCUGAGAAAUACCCAUGAACCUGAUCUGGAUUAUACCAGCGUAGGAAGUCUUGUUUUAGCAUUUC
rfam:Lactobacillus agilis DSM 20509 NODE_49, whole genome shotgun sequence.